GCGGAAUUCGAUCCCCAAUUUGAUAUCUGAACUCCACUCUUGGUCCUGGAAACUGAAAGCUGGAUGCUUACUUAUGUUUUCCUUAUGGAUUGUAUUUGACUACUAUAACUUAUUCUGUGGGCUGUAAUGUGUUUUUUUUGGGAUAAUGUACUUUUCUUUUUGGAUUGCCACUUGAAGCUGGAAAAUGUGUAAACCCUAAUUCGAUUACUUGGUUUGUAAGUUUGUAUUUGGGAUUUAUGUAUGUAUCUAUCCGGAUUGGUGCGACUUUAUACUUUGGUACGUAGCACGUAGGACGUUUAAGAGCACCGACUGGUUAUUUUAUCA